CAAGAGAACAGAUGGCUCCCCAC
rnacentral:piRNA from 1 species